AUGCAGUCGAACGGUACAGGCUAAGCUGACGAGUGGCGAACGGGUGAGUAAUACUUCGGAACGUGCCCAGUAGUGGGGGAUAGCCCGGCGAAAGCCGGAUUAAUACCGCAUACGACCUAAGGGUGAAAGGGGGGGAUCGCAAGACCUCUCGCUAUUGGAGCGGCCGAUGUCAGAUUAGCUAGUUGGUGGGGUAAAAGCUCACCAAGGCGACGAUCUGUAGCUGGUCUGAGAGGACGACCAGCCACACUGGGACUGAGACACGGCCCACACUCCUACGGGAGGCAGCAGUGGGGAAUUUUGGACAAUGGGCGCAAGCCUGAUCCAGCCAUGCCGCGUGCGGGAAGAAAGCCUUCGGGUUGUAAACCGCUUUUGUCAGGGAAGAAAUCCUUUGGGUUAAUACCUCGGGGGAUGACGGUACCUGAAGAAUAAGCACCGGCUAACUACGUGCCAGCAGCCGCGGUAAUACGUAGGGUGCAAGCGUUAAUCGGAAUUACUGGGCGUAAAGCGUGCGCAGGCGGUUCUAUAAGACAGAUGUGAAAUCCCCGGGCUCAACCUGGGAACUGCAUUUGUGACUGUA
rnacentral:rRNA from 1 species